rnacentral:rRNA from 1 species
CCUACGGGUGGCAGCAGUGGGGAAUAUUGCACAAUGGGCGAAAGCCUGAUGCAGCAACGCCGCGUGAGCGAUGAAGGCCUUCGGGUCGUAAAGCUCUGUCCUCAAGGAAGAUAAUGACGGUACUUGAGGAGGAAGCCCCGGCUAACUACGUGCCAGCAGCCGCGGUAAUACGGAGGAUGCGAGCGUUAUCCGGAUUUAUUGGGUUUAAAGGGUGCGUAGGCGGAGCGUUAAGUCAGUGGUCAAAUUGAGGGGCUCAACCCCUUCCCGCCAUUGAAACUGGCGCUCUUGAGUGGAAGAGAAGUAUGCGGAAUGCGUGGUGUAGCGGUGAAAUGCAUAGAUAUCACGCAGAACCCCGAUUGCGAAGGCAGCAUGCCGGCUUCCUACUGACGCUGAAGCACGAAAGCGUGGGGAUCGAACAGGAUUAGAUACCCGUGUAGUC